UUUUUUGCUCCACUGAAGCCUGUUAGAAUCACCAUGGAAUACAGUUCCAGUGGGAAAGCCACUGGAGAAGCUGAUGUGCACUUCGAUUCCCAUGAGGAUGCUGUUGCAGCUAUGCUCAAGGAUCGGUCCCACGUUCAGCAUAGGUAUAUUGAAUUGUUCCUGAAUUCAUGUCCAAAGGGAAAAUAAGACUCCAGAUAAUAAGGAUGAAGCAAGAAGCAUUUCAUUUGCACAUCUUUCUUGGAUAUGGGAUAUACAGUUCCAGUGUUUUAGCAGCAACUGUUAGAGAAAGGAUAUGGGGGUUUGGGGUUAAUUGCUUAAGAAAAAUUCCAUAGUGGACUGUUUAGAAAGAAAAAGGAAAGAUUCAGUUUGGAAUUAAAUAAAUCACAAAUUUAAAUUUUGUUUAAAACUGUCUAGGAUAGAUCUGAUUUACAAAUCUGGUCUUUAUUUUAUGAUUAAAUAAUUUGUUUUCAUAGAGAUUGUUAUCCAAUGUAAAGACUGCAUAUUUUUAUUCAGCACUGUCAUUUAAAAUCUUCCUCCCAUUUUAAAAAUGAUUUUUUUGAGAGCUCUGAUAUAAAACUUCCUAUGGAAUAAAAUACUGAUUUAUUUUAACCAAAUACUCACCAAAGCAAAGAAAGGUUUCAGACCUUUGAAUCAUUAUGAUUUGGUAGAGUAGUUAUAAUUUUAGGUGUAUUGAUGACUUAAGGGGUAGGAAUGUAAAAAAAAAGAAAAGAUUCAAAACAAAAAAAUAAAUACCACUGGUUAGUAUAAUGGACAGCUAUUCGGCAGUGUCACAUCUUUAGAAUUGUUUGGCCUUUCUAAGCUUGUGCUACUGGCAUUUAACAUAGUGCCUGUGUGCUUUAGGAGAGAAUUCUAGUCUCAACUUAAAAGUUGUCUGAACAUAUCCCAAUCUCCUGACCCCCUUUUUUGGUUUUGGGCAAACAUUAGGGGUGUUAGUCUCAAAACUGUGAAGUGACAUCUCAAAACAGUCCCUACUGGUAAGGAUCUUAAUGGCUUCACUUGAAUUUAAACCAGCUCUAGAUAGGAAAAAACCUAAGUCCCUUCAUUUGCUUUUUCAGUGGGUAGCACAUCCCAUAUUUUAGAACAAGUAGGGGUGCCUUGCUUAAAUAAAAAUAGCAUUUAAUGUAUAAUUGUGUGAAGGGUUUAUGGAUAAAGCUGUACUUCUGUCACAUUGUGGCAGUACAUUCUGCUUUCAUAUUAAAUAGCUUGUUAUUUAAAUAUUGGAUCAAAAUGGCUGGCUUGAAAAUGUAGUCAUUAAUAAACUAACUUUAUGUGCACCUGUGUAGGAGAAUCAAAGUCCUGUAUACUUUCUUUGCCUUGUUCCUGUUCUCAGGGUCACUACUGCUAUGUAGUUACCAAGAGAUGCAAUUCUAGAUCUUAAAAUCGAAUUAGUCCAGAGUUUUGAGAGGUGAUAUUUGGAAGAGAGAUUAUGUCUUCUCUCACUCAGUACAUAACCAUCUUUGAUUACCAGCUAAGAUACAAAAUCACUGUACUGUAAAUAGUUAAUAAAUGAAAGCUUGGUUCAGGCAGAUUA